CAGGAGAGUCGUUAACCGGUUCGUCAGUGAGAUCAACAAAAGAACACAACACCUGUAUAAGGAAAUAGGAGAGAAGAGAAGGAAGACGAUGCAGUCAGCAGAUCCACAGGAGAUGGAGCAGGAGAGAAAGCUGCGCCCCCCACCCAG